rnacentral:misc_RNA from 1 species
CAAACGAAAUCAGAUUGACAAAAAAAAAACUUUAGAAAAUGGCGGAGCUUCGAAGUCGUAGCGUCCUAUAGCUUUUUCCAAAUAAAUGUAAGAUUUUUAUGUGUAAAUGAUAGAAAAGUGACGAUAAACAAUAUGGAGACUUCAGUGAAUAAUGGCAUGUGUCGGUGUUGUGCAUCGGAGGGUGCGUUCAAAGACGUUAAAAGCACAUAUCAUUGGAUGGGCGAAGAAGAGAUAUAUUCCGACAUGUUGCGAGAUUGUUUCGACAUAAACUUGGAAGUAUCAGAACAAGGUCAAGAUGGAGGCAUAUGCGAGGUCUGCAUCACGCAGCUGCGGAACGCCAUCAACUUCAAGAAGCAGGUGCUGCACACUGAAGAGCAGUUCAAGAUACAUCUGCAGAACAAGACUAUGUUUAGACCUAAUAUAGUGAAGGUUGAACUGCAAGCCGGGGAAGAUUCCGAUGACCUGGGUUCAGGGGACGACGCAUUCUCAGGCCCUGAAUUCGAAGUGCCAAUAAAAAUGGAGACUGAAGAGACGAAGCCCAAGAAACGAGGAGCCAAAGCCUCCGCCACUACCACCCGUGCUAAGAAGGCCAAAGCCGACAACGGCGAGACCUCUAACAAACGAACGGACGACGACGGGCCCAAACGCAGGAAAAGGAAAAAGAAAUCGGACGAAAGCGCCACCCCUGAGCGCGUAGAACACAGGGUCAACCUUACCGCCAUACUGCAAUACUCCAACGCGAGCCCCUUUCGCGACAAAACCAUUCGCGGCUUCUCCUGCCUGUAUUGCGCCAAAGCCUUCCCCGACAUUCACGCCCUCCGCGCACACACGGCUCAACAAUCAGAAAAAGACAAAAUCAACACCAUUAUAGACUAUAAACUUAGUUAUAACCCCAUUAAAGUCGAUAUCACCAACCUCCACUGCACUGUUUGUAACUUAGGCAUGAGAGACCUGAACGAUCUCAAGGAUCAUCUAGUAGCCAUUCACAAUAAAACUAUUUACAAGCACAUUAAAGACAUUAUACUCCCUUUCAGGUUAGAAGAUGGACACAACUUUACGUGUGUCAUUUGUUCUGUAGUUCACAUAUCUUUUAAGAAUCUCUAUCAUCAUAUGAGCAGUCAUUAUAGGAAUUAUUGCUGUAAGAAAUGCGGUGUCGGGUAUAUAACCAUAGCGGCUUUGAGGAAGCACGGAAAGACCCAUGCGCAAGGCAUAUUCCCCUGUGACUAUUGCGAUAAAUCCUACACUUCUCUAACGAAGAAGAGGAAUCAUGAAAAGGGUGUCCACACGGGUGGUUGGUUGAGGAACAAAUGUCCUCAUUGUCCGGAAAUUUUCGUCAGCUACUAUGACAGAAGUGAGCAUCUUGUAAAAGUUCACAAUCAAGCUCCUAUACUUUACCCUUGCAACGCUUGUAAUAAAACCUAUAAGAAGAAGUUUGAGCUGAACAGGCAUAUAAAGCAUCACCAUUUACAACAAAGGAGUUUCCUAUGCGAUAAGUGUAAUGCCAAGUUCUUCUCCAAAAGAGGUCUGGCUGACCACCUCUCAAGGCAUACGGGAAGCGACACGUGCUCUUGUGAUGUCUGUGGCAAAGUGUUCUCAAGAGCCAGAACUCUUAAAGAACAUAUGAAAAUACAUGAAGACGACAAACGGUUCCAAUGUGAGAUUUGUCAUAAGACGUUCAUGCAGAAAUGUAGCCUGAAAAGUCAUGUUCGCCUUCACCAGGACGACUUGGAUAUUUUCAAGGAGUUUGAUGAUGUAAAGCAUCUCAUAGAUAAUAGGGAACUCACUUUGAAGCAGAUAGCGGCAGAGAGUAAGAUUAAAGCGCAAGCAGAGAAGGCAAAAGAGGAGAAAGAGUUCGAAUAGAGUUUAAAUUAGUGGUUAUAGGACAUUCCGAGGACCUUUUCUUAGAAAUAAAGACAGUUUUUUCCGUUCUUAUGUUAACUAUUAUAUUGCAUUGUUUGAAAAAUGUGUGAUUUUUCACUGAAUUCUAAUGCUGGAUUAAGUAUGUCUGAGCGGUAGCCAAUAAAAUAUUUUCGCGCCAUUAUAUCUGUCAAUGUCAAUUUCAAAAUGGCGACCACUUUUUCACAGACCGAAUUAAAUGUUUUAUUAUUCCAUAAAUGUUCAAAUAAUAGACUUCGUUAUAUGAAUUGCUCUAAAGAGGUUUGUUAUUUAAUUAAAAUAGUACAGACGCCAGCAGGUCAACGUCUCCGAAUCUGUCAAAUGUUACCAACCGAACAUUAAGCUUCCACUAUUGUGAUAAGGUUGAACAUCUAUUGAUCACAUUUGACAGAUUUGUUUUUACCAAGAAACUGCACACUAUUUUUUUCUGAGGGCCUUGACAAACACUGCAUAUAAAAAUCAUGUAUAUAACACGUUUAUCAAAAUAUUCUUGAAUAUAGUAUGAUUUUAUUCAAAUGACACAGAUGAAAUUAUUUGAGAUACAUAUAAUUGCGAUUCCAAUGAUUUUGAUUUUUAUUAUAUAAAAUAUAUUGUUUUGUUUUUAGUUUACAAUGGAGUACUAAUAUGAUGAAUAAUUUUACUUUUAUUUCUACACUUUUAAAUAACUUUCUGUCGUCAUAUCUCGAUAUUUGCAAAAUCAUAAUACUUUAUUUACGCAUAUAAAAGCUAUAAUACCAAAAUGUAUCAUCAGAAAUUAUUUAGUCAUUCUUGCGGGAAAUAGCAACAAAAAUACAUUCUUAAAAAAAACUGUUUAAAAUACAAAUCACCCUUUGUGAUUUUUAACCGAUUUCGUAAAAGAGGAGAUUCUCAGUUUUAGUUUUAUAUCAAGGCUCUAAUUCUAAUAUAUUAUGCGAUUUAUUUAUACUGCAAUAUCGAAAAGUAUUUAUUAAUAACAUGCUUCAAAAAAUAUCGAGGUAUGACAAUAGGAGUUAAAUAUGAGCCAAUCUAUCAAUAUGUAUGUAUAUUUUAGUAUAGUUAUCGGCACGAAUCUUGGGCUCUGACCUUCACCUGCGCAGAAGUAAUUUAUUGGGUCCCUUUUGUGGUAUGAAGUGAGGCGCGGGGGCGGGCUAAAGCGGUGAUUGGCCCGCAGUGCAUCGCGUCGUAGCCGUCACUCGGGAUUAGUUCUUUGCUAAUAAAUCACUUCUGCGCAGAUGUAGGUCAGAGCUCAAGAUUCGUGCCGAUAACUAUACUUAAUAUAAUGACUCAAUUGCUAUACACAUAUGUAUAAGGAUUUUUUAGACUGCCUUAUGGUCUAGUUGUCGGUAACUCGACUGCUGUGCAAGAGGCCUCGUAUUCGAUUCCCGGGUCGUGCCCGUUAAAUCGUGCGAAUUGACAACUGACGCACAGAUAAACAGAUACAUAAAUAACCGCACACUAUAGGCUUAACUGUCAUUGAACAUCCUUGGCAGUCGUUACGAGUAGUCAGAAGCCAGUAAGUCUGACACCAGUCUAACCAAGGGGUAUUGGGUUGCCCGGGUAACUGGGUUGAGGGGGUCAGAUAGGCAGUCGCUUCUUGUAAAGCACUGGUACUCAGCUGCAUCCGGUUAGACUGGAAGCC